AGCGGGGUACCGUGGACUCCAGGGCGGGCCCCGCUUCAGGGGAUGGGGUGGGGGCAGGACACCUGGGACAGCGCAGGUGGGUGGCAGAGCGGAGGAGGGAGGGUGAUGAAUGCGCCGGGCACCACCCGUUGCUGGACAGGUGCAGGGUCACGGGAGGGAGAGGAAGCCGAGAGUCUCCACCCCAGACAGCUUCAGUGCCCCCGCUGGUCCAAGGGAGAGGGGGAGCAGGGACACCCCCACAGGUACGGGCCGGGGCGCUGCAUAAGCUCCUGGGUGAUGCUGGCACCGGUCGGGGGGCAUGUCUGUAAGUGCCUGUGCUUGGUGGUGGGGGGCGGGUGGGGACAUGCAAGCCUGCCCACUGGGAGGGGCCCCUUUGCUGCAGGUACCAUAGCGUCCGGGUCAGAUGAUGCUGCGGGCUUCGUGGUCAGGCCGCCUGGUGUUACUAACUGGGUAUUCUCGGGCAAAUGACCUCACUUCCCACAUUCUGUUUCCUCAUCUGCACAGUAGGGACAUCAGUAGCAUCCGUCUCAUAGCAUUGUUAGGAGAGUUAAUGAAAUAGUACCUGCAGGGGCUUCCCUGGUGGCCCAGUGGUUAAGAAUCCGCCCAGCAAUGCAAGGGUCACAGGUUCGAUCUGUGGUCCGGGAAGAUCCCACUAAGCCCGGGAGUCCCAACUCCUGAGCCCACGUGCUGCAAAUGCUGAAGCCGCAUGCGCAAAGCCAUCGAAACGAGAAGCCCUCACCCCGCGUGGAGAGUAGCCCCGCUCGCUGCAACCGGAGAAAGCCUGCGCAGUGACUGAGACCCAGCGCAGCCAAGAAAAACAAACACAAGCCUGCCAAGUGCUUGGAAGAGGAGCCUGCAGAGUCUGCUGCUCGGCCCCCCUGGGAGGUACCCAGGUACCCAAAAUCCAACACUGGGGGCUUCUUGGUUUGUGAUCUGGAGUGCCUGGAACUCUGCAAACUUCCUCACUCCUGGAAUCCGUCACUGGAUGUCACCACUGCGCUGGCGCUCAGGAAUGCUACUCCUUCGGACCUUAAGAAGCUGAAUCACAGGCUGGAGGGAAGAAUCCCAGUGUGAACAAGAGCAGUGGAUGAAGGGAAACAGAAACAAGGAAGUCAGGCAGGCGGAUACUUUACCACUGAGCCACCAGGGAAGCCAGAGGGGAAGACAAAGCGGGACAGAACAAAUGUACAAAAUCAGAAGUGUGAAGAAGAAAUAACCACGGAUAGAGCAGCGACAGUUUCCUAUGCCUGCUUGAAGAUUACCACAAACUUGGUGGCUUGAAGACACCACUUUUUGUGGCAUAAGAUGGUGGAUGAGAAGGACGUGCGCUCGUUUCUCCUGCGAGAACUCUAAAACCACAACUUGCUGCUGAACAACCGUCCACUGGAGAAUGUUGGAUCCCACCAAAAAAGACACCCCACGUCCCAGGGCAGAGGAGAAGCCCCAGCAAGACGGUAGGAGGGGCGAGAUAGCAUUUAAAACCAAACCCCUUACCCGCCAGAGAUGCUCAGAGGGAUCAAACAAACUUGUGUACACCAGGAACCAGAGACCCCACAGAGACUGAGCCAGAACCGUGUUUGGGCAUCUCCUGAGGAGGUGUGGGUGAGCAGUGGCCUGCUGCAGGGGCAGGGGCUCGGGCUGCAGCAGACCUGGGUAUGGCAAAGGCCCUCUUAGAGGAGGUCGCCAUUAAUCCUGCCAUAGAGCUGCCAGAACUUACACAGGACUGGGAAGCAGACUCUUGGAGGGCACAGCAGAAACUUGUGUGCACUAGGACCCAGGAGCAAGGAACGGCAACCCCACAGGAGACUGACCCAGACUUGGGGCAGAGGCGUGGGUUGACGGUGGCCUGCUGCCGGGUCGGGGCACGGAGUGCAUGGGACCUUCUGAAGGAGGUCGCCAUUAUCUUCAUCACCUCCACCAUAGUCUGGCUUCAAAUCAAACAACCGGGAGGGAACACAGCCCCACCCUUCAAUAGAAAAUUGGAUUAAAGAUUUACUGAGCAUGGCCCCACCCAUCAGAAUAAGACCCAGUUUCCCCCUCUGUC